AUAAGCUACUAAGGGCGUAUGGUGAAUGCCUUGGCGUCAUCAGGCGAUGAAAGACGUGGUUAGCUGCGAUAAGCUUCGGUGAGUUGCUAAACAAACUUUGACCCGAAGAUCUCUGAAUGGGGAAACCUCUUAUGGGUAACACCAUAAGAUUUCCAAAAGAAAUGCGAACGCAGGGAACUGAAACAUCUUAGUACCUGCAGGAAAAUAAAACAACCGUGAUUCUCAAAGUAGUGGCGAGCGAAAUGGGAACAGCCUAAACCUUGCAUACGUAAUAACCUAGGGGUGUUGUAUGUUGGGUGUUGCGGAACGUUUCAUGUGUGGCUCUAGACACACAAAGAAGUUACCAAUCUUUAUCUUAGCAAAAGAAUCUGGAAAGAUUUCCCAUAGAAAGUGAUAGGCUUGUAUGCGAAAAGAUAAAGACUUCUGAGAAUGUUUCCAAGUACCACGGGGCACGAGCAACCCUGUGGGAAUCUGGGGGGACCACCCUCCAAGGCUAAAUACUAGAUGGCGACCGAUAGUGAACAAGUACCGUGAGGGAAAGGUGAAAAGAACCCCGGUGAGGGGAGUGAAAUAGAAUCUGAAACCAUAUGCCUACAAGCUGUGGAAGGGCUAUGCAUGGACUUCGGUCCAUGAAUGCCUGACCGCGUUCCUUUUGCAUUAUGAGUCGGCGACUUAUUUUCUGUAGCAAGGUUAAGCCGUAGAGGUGGAGCCGUAGCGAAAGCGAGUCUGAAUAGGGCGAAUAAGUUACAGGAAAUAGACCCGAAACCGAGUGAUCUACCCAUGGUCAGGAUGAAGUAGCCGUAACAGGCUAUGGAGGUCCGAACUGGUUGCCCUUAAAAAGGCAUCGGAUGAACUGUGGGUAGUAGUGAAAAGCUAAUCGAACUCGGAUAUAGCUGGUUCUCCCCGAAAUAUAUUGAGGUAUAGCCUUAAAGGAUACUCCUCGGAGGUAAAGCACUGAAUGGACUAAGGGUCUUACCAGACUACUAAAUCCAAUCAAACUCUGAAUUCCGAGAAAGUUACUUUAGGAGUCAGUCUAUGGGUGAAAAGGUCCGUGGACGAGAGGGAAAGAGCCCAGAUCACAAGCUAAGGUCCCCAAAUAGAGACUAAGUGGGAAAGGUUGUGGGAAUGCUCAGACAGCCAGGAGGUUGGCUUAGAAGCAGCCAUCCUUUAAAGAAAGCGUAACAGCUCACUGGUCAAGCGCGCCUGCGCCAAAGAUGUAACGGGGCUAAAGUCUCUUACCGAAGCUGUGGCAUGUGGAAAUGUUUCCAUGAUGGGUAGGGGAGCGUUCUAUUGUAGGCUGAAGCGAGAUUGAAAGGACUCGUGGACGAAAUAGAAGUGACUAUGCUGACAUAAGUAGCGAUAAAACGGGUGAAAAACCCGUUCGCCGUAAGCCCAAGGGUUCCUGGGGAAGGGUAAUCCUCCCAGGGUUAGUCGGGGCCUAAGCCGAGGCCGAAAGGCGUAGGUGAUGGGAAACAGAUUAAUAUUUCUGUACCAUCGGAUGAACGUUAUACUGAAGAGGUGACGAAGAAGGAUAAACUAUCCGGGUGAUGGAUAUCCCGGUUCAAGCUGGUAGGAGGGUCAGUUGGCAAAUCCGCUGACCAUUAACUCUGAGAAGUGAUGAGGAUGGGCGUAAGCCCAACAAACUAGUUGAUUCCAAGCUUCCUAGAAAAGCCUCGUAGGGAGUUCAUUUGGUGCCCGUACCGUAAACCGACUCAGGUGGGCGAGUAGAGAAUACUAAGGCGCUUGAGAGAACUCUGGUUAAGGAACUCAGCAAAUUAACACCGUAACUUCGGGAUAAGGUGUGCCCUUGGUAGGUGAAGCCCCUGCGGGUGGAGCCGAGAAGGGUUGCAAUAACCAGGCUGUAGCGACUGUUUAUCAAAAACACAGGACUCUGCAAAGUCGCAAGACGACGUAUAGGGUCUGACGCCUGCCCGGUGCUGGAAGGUUAAGAGGAGGUAUCAGUCUUCGGACGAAGUGCUGAAUCGAAGCCCCAGUAAACGGCGGCCGUAACUAUGAACCUGGACCAUUGUAGUUAUAAAAUCUGACUAUAUGCUGGAACACCUCAUGGAUCCCACACUACUCGCCAUGUAGAUGGCAGUGACAAUGUGAUGGGUGGAGGCAAUCAGCAGGAAAGACUUUAAUUCUAAGGUUGGAGGUUUCCAUGAAAUUAAACCUUAAUGAAAUUCCGAGAGAUAUUGGUUACUAUCUUGCUGGCUUUGCUGAUGGAGAAGGAAGUUUCAAUAUUUCAUUCAGAAAACGUGAUGAUUAUACAACAGGAUGGAAAGUAUCUGCAUGUUUUAAUGUUUCACAAAAAGAGAGAAUCAUUUUAACUCUUUUUAAGCAACAUCUAAAGUGUGGAACAUUGAGAUCACGACCUGAUGGAAUAUGGUAUUACGAAGUCAAUAAUUUAAAUGCUCUCAGAGAAAAUGUGAUACCGUUUUUUUGGAAAUUCAAUUUUUUAUCAGCAAAAAAAAAGAAAGACUUUUCAACAUUUUGUAAAAUCAUCAAACUUUUAGAAUUUAAUGAUCAUCACUCAAUUGAGGGAAUACAAAAAAUUCUAGAAUUAAGAGAAAACAUGAAUAAUGGCGGCAACAGAAAAUUUAGUAGCCAAGAAAUUCUUGACAGUAUUAUUAAAGAAUCCCCAGAGACUGUACGUCAGACUCAACAUUUAAGUUGAGAUGAUACAGUCCGAUCUUUAUGGCGACAUAAAGAGUGAAAUAGAAAUAUUUCAUCACUUCGCAUAAUGAUGUGAAGUGUAACAUUAAUGAACGGUCCUAAGGUAGCGAAAUUCCUUGUCGGGUAAGUUCCGACCUGCAUGAAUGGCGUAACGACUGCAGCACUGUCUCAACCAGAGCCUCAGCGAAAUUGAAGAAGCGGUGCAAAUACCGUUUUCUCGCAGCAAGACGGAAAGACCCUGUGCACCUUUACUAUAACUUGGCAUUGAAUUUCGAGGCGAUUUGUGCAGGAUAGGUGGGAGACUUUGAGGCGGCGGCGCUAGCUGUCGCGGAGUCAACCUUGAAAUACCACCCUGAUCAUCUUGGAGUUCUAACCUAGGAGAGUAAUCCUCUCCAGGGACAUUGCCUGGUGGGUAGUUUGACUGGGGCGGUUGCCUCCUAAAUUGUAACGGAGGCGUGCAAAGGUUCGCUCAGGUUGAGUGGAAACCAACCUAUAGAGUGUAAAGGCAUAAGCGAGCUUAACUGUGAGACCUACAAGUC
rnacentral:rRNA from 1 species